rnacentral:rRNA from 1 species
AACGAACGCUGGCGGCAUGCCUAACACAUGCAAGUCGAACGAACCCUUCGGGGUUAGUGGCGCACGGGUGCGUAACGCGUGGGAAUCUGCCCAAAGGUUCGGAAUAACACAGAGAAAUUUGUGCUAAUACCGGAUAAUGUCUUCGGACCAAAGAUUUAUUGCCUUUGGAUGAGCCCGCGUUGGAUUAGCUUGUUGGUGAGGUAACGGCUCACCAGGGCGACGAUCUAUAGCUGGUCUGAGAGGAUGAUCAGCCACACUGGGACUGAGACACGGCCCAGACUCCUACGGGAGGCAGCAGUGGGGAAUAUUGGACAAUGGGCGAAAGCCUGAUCCAGCAAUGCCGCGUGAGUGAUGAAGGCCUUAGGGUUGUAAAGCUCUUUUACCAGGGAUGAUAAUGACAGUACCUGGAGAAUAAGCUCCGGCUAACUCCGUGCCAGCAGCCGCGGUAAUGUCGUACG